rnacentral:sRNA from 1 species
UCCCUGAAACGAAUUAAGAGGUCAGACCGUCGUGGGGCAGAGUCGGUGACAGAAGAAAAAUUUACAAUCCUGUUUGAAUCCCAGUUCAGUGUUGGUGGAAAUGAGCUGGUUUUUCAAGUCAAGACCCUGUCCCUGCCAGUGGUGGUGAUCGUUCAUGGCAGCCAGGACAACAAUGCGACGGCCACCGUUCUCUGGGACAAUGCUUUUGCAGAGCCUGGCAGGGUGCCAUUUGCCGUGCCUGACAAAGUGCUGUGGCCACAGCUGUGUGAGGCGCUCAACAUGAAAUUCAAGGCCGAAGUGCAGAGCAACCGGGGCCUGACCAAGGAGAACCUCGUGUUCCUAGCACAGAAACUGUUCAACAACAGUAGCAGCCACCUGGAGGACUACAGUGGCCUGUCUGUGUCCUGGUCCCAGUUCAACAGGGAGAAUUUACCAGGACGGAAUUACACUUUCUGGCAAUGGUUUGACGGUGUGAUGGAAGUGUUAAAAAAACAUCUCAAGCCUCAUUGGAAUGAUGGGUGAGAAUCAUUAUUUCUUAAGGCGCCGACAGAGUCUGAAGGUCUUCUCUCUGGCAUCAUAAGUCACACUCUGCUUCUGUCCUUUGUCCUUGGUGAUCCAGGGCCAUUUUGGGGUUUGUAAACAAGCAACAGGCCCAUGACCUACUCAUUAACAAGCCAGAUGGGACCUUCCUCCUGAGAUUCAGUGACUCAGAAAUUGGCGGCAUCACCAUUGCUUGGAAGUUUGAUUCUCAGGAAAGAAUGUUUUGGAAUCUGAUGCCUUUUACCACCAGAGACUUCUCCAUUCGGUCCCUAGCCGACCGCUUGGGAGACUUGAAUUACCUUAUCUACGUGUUUCCUGAUCGGCCAAAAGAUGAAGUAUACUCCAAAUACUACACAC